rnacentral:lncRNA from 1 species
UCUCAGGGCACUGGACCCACAAGGAGGAGAACCUCUCGUUGGCUGCCCAGCACGCUUCUUCUAAAGGAGUUCAGCAUACAAUAUGCAAAGAGUAAAGUCACCGUGAUAUUUUGCUAAGGUACUUCUUUGCUGUUUGCUUGCUGGCGUUAUUGGGGUUUAAGAAGCUAAAAAGAGAGUGGCCGCAAUCAGUGCUCUUCGUUUGACUUCCUACAAAGGCAUAGUUACCUGAGGGGCAAGAGGAUCGUUGCCCUUUAAUGUUUCUAUUGCAGGGUGUUUCAUGGGUCUCGCACAAUCCACAGCUGGAGUCCAUUAUGAAGAAACACCAAAGAUGAUACCAGUUAAUCAUUCCUGAUAUGGUGAGCACUGAAAAACAGCAGCACCUGUGAAGAAGCAAAAGGCAAUCUGCUUCAGGAGCUCCCAGAAACACUUGUGAGUCAUGGGCUUGAAAUUUGGCCCCUUCCACUUAGCACCAAGAGGAAUGUCUUCUCUGCCAGAUACAGAUUAUCAUUUCUUGCUGGCUUUGAACGUAUUGGUACAUGAGACAGAGACCAGUCUCCACUGACUCCAUGAUCAUUUACUGAAUUAAUUACCCUAUGACUGUAGCGAUUCAAAUCCAGUUCCCACCUGCUCUCUCCCUCCCAUACUAACCUGCCUAUAUCUCCAGGCUGUAUCUGUUAUCCUAUCAGCAUUCGACAACGUAGGAUACCUUGUGCUUGAAGGUUUGGAGGAAACUGUCAUUCAUGAGACACUUCUGUACCUGCAAACACGUUCUUCCUGGAGACUGUGUGUUCUCUCUGAAGAGAGAGCUGAUAAAUCUCCUUUAUUUCCCGGAAAGAAGACCUUUUAUAAAAUUCUCUGGCUUAACUGUAAGCUUCUAACUGCACUAGGAGUAACCCACUCUGUAAAGAAUGGAAGGAGAAACAUGGAAAGAGAAAGAGAUUCAACAAGAU